GAGUUUGAUCGUGGCUCAGAACGAACGCUGGCGGCAUGCCUAACACAUGCAAGUCGAACGAGACCUUCGGGUCUAGUGGCGCACGGGUGCGUAACGCGUGGGAAUCUGCCCUUCGGUUCGGAAUAACUCAGGGAAACUUGAGCUAAUACCGGAUGAUGACUUCGGUCCAAAGAUUUAUCGCCGAGGGAUGAGCCCGCGUAGGAUUAGCUUGUUGGUGAGGUAAAAGCUCACCAAGGCGACGAUCCUUAGCUGGUCUGAGAGGAUGAUCAGCCACACUGGGACUGAGACACGGCCCAGACUCCUACGGGAGGCAGCAGUGGGGAAUAUUGCGCAAUGGGCGAAAGGCCUGAUCCAGCAAUGCCGCGUGAGUGAUGAAGCCUUAGGGUUGUAAAGCUCUUUUACCCGGGAUGAUAAUGACAGUACCGGGAGAAUAAGCCCCGGCUAACUCCGUGCCAGCCGCCGCGGUAAAC
rnacentral:rRNA from 1 species